rnacentral:lncRNA from 1 species
AAAAGAUCAUCGGAUUGCUUCAAAAGAGCAUGAGCAGAGAGGGAGAACUUUUCAGUAUGAGAAUUUUGCAACAAUAGCAGAAUAAAAAGUCUCAAGGAGUAAGAGAAGCCCAGCUGAGGCCUCUCUGUCUGGGGUAUUUCCGGUGUGCUGGCAUCGUGGAGAAUGCGAACCACCAGUACUCAGCUCUCUUCCCAGAGGUCAGCUGAAGGGGACGUGACUGGGAGCCAGGUCGCCUCUAAGAAGCUUCCUUCGCAUUAGGGAGAAUGUCUCCCCAAGCAACCCAGAGAAGACUGCGGUUCCCUCGCGCUGGAGAAGAGCCUCCGGAAGAUGUGGCUGUUGGUUGACCUGAGGGCUAGACCUUGGCUCUUACACGCGCCUCAUCCCUCCCCUGUCCUUGGAAUGUGGGUUCUGCCCCCUGUUUCCACUCUGCUAACAUAGGAUCAACUUAUAUGAGGGGCUGGUGCCAAAGACCAGCCCUGAGAAGCACCACGCUGUUGAGACCCUCUGGACGAUGUGCGGGACUAAACCCGAGAGUCUCCUUGGCAGCUUUCACGAUGGUGGCGCCUAUGGAGCCUCAUCUGUAAGUUCACGUGCUCGUGAAAGCUGUCACCUGCCCAUCUGGAGUGGUCCGCCUCUUUCUUUGGCCUCCCCGAGCCGUUAGGUACGAGUGCUAGUUGGUGAACCAACCCUGGCCGGUUUUGCAUCACCCGAGUCCAUUCGCUCUCAGGGAGAGAAGGCACGGCCAGGGGGUAUGGGAGACAACGGGGUGAAAGAACCCAUCACCAAGGUCUAGGGCGGGCUGAGGGGGCCCGCGAAGCGUGUGGAGAUGUUCAGAGCCCAGUAAAAGCACUGACGACAAGUGAAGCUAGUCACACCCUAGACAGGAGAUGGUGAAAAGGAGUGAGUGACCAGGGAUCAGCGAAGGCUGGAGCCGCAGCGCUGGGACAGAAGGUCGCCUGGCAGGAGUGCCACCUGUAUGGGACCAGGCACCGCCAGAACCAUCACACCAGGAUGGCCAGAACUAUCGUACCUCACCUCUCUCUCCCUCCUCUGCCUCCUCUGCUGCUGGUGCCUGAGACUGGCUGGACCCACCAGAGAGCAGAGGCCUAGGAGCCUGAAUGAUUGACAGAGAGAGAGAGUGUGUGUCCACAGCCCCCUGGCACACAGAGCAGAGCAGAGAAGGUAAGAAGAGACUGCAGUGAGGUCGUAAAGUGAGCACCCACUGCGUACAUGGGUUCUUGUUCCAAUUAGCUGGGGCCGGAGUGCAGGAUAUAUUUUAUGUAAGACACUGUGUUAAAAAUCAUGGGACCUGAGGCAGAAGAAUCAGCCCAGGACUGUUCUCUGGUGGGGGGAUUGUGG